rnacentral:lncRNA from 1 species
AGAAUUAAACUGCAUAUUUUUAAGCUUGCUUACACUUUAUUCCUUGAGUUUGAAUAUUACAAAGUACUCUUGUCUCUCUAACUUCCAAGUUUCAAUUGACAAUAGUUAUUAUAGGACUAAACUGCAUGUUCUUGAAAUACCAAGAGCUCAAGUGUUAUUUCUGCAAAACCUCAAGGUUGUUUUGUAACUAGUCCCAAAAAAUGAAUAAUGAAAACUAUGAAACAUGAUAAUCUUAAGCUGUUAUUUUGUAACUAUGAGCAGGAGCUUUAGGCAUGCUAUUUUUAUAUUUCUUAAAAAUAUUCCCAUUUUUUUUCUGCAAAGGUUGUUCUAUAAAAAACUUUGGGACAAUUUGAGAGGCGAUAUUUCUAAAUGUUGACAACGCAUUAGUCAUGUAUUGUAUACCACACAAUAAGAUGCAUUUUGAAACAUAAACGCACUUAAUUGUUUAAGUGGUAGAGGAAUGACUGAAAUGAAAUAUUCAAGUUUUUCAGACUUGGCCAGACCUUUGAACUGGUGAGGUGAAGGCUGAGAGUUAUAGGCCAAAGGUUCAACUGGAGUGACUUUGGGAUUGAACAGGAGUUUGCGCACACACAUAGAUACACACACAUAAAAGCAAAUUAAAUGAUAUGCAAAAUUAAGAAAUCCUAUAAGUGAAUUUUAUGCAAAAUUAAGAAAUCCUAUAAGUGAAUUUUAAAAUAAUUGUAAUUACAUUUCAGUAAACAAAUUCUCUUAUAGUAGAUAUUUUGAAAAUUUUAUUAGAAAAAGUAAUAUUUUAUAAUAGGAGAAAUAUUUAGAAUAAAGGUUUACAUGAAAAUGAAGAUAUUAAUUAUGAUGAAAAAUAAAACGGGAG